ACUGACCUGACCUGGCCGCCCCGGCGACCCGCCUCCCGCCUCCACGUCUGCCCCGCCCCACGCCUCCCCUUGCCCCCCAGUACCCAUCACCAUCCUGACUCUCCCACGGCCGCGGCCUGCGUCGCCGCCUGACUCCGAGCACGAGCAGUCUUCUGCCCAUUCCACUCCCGCCGGCGAGCUCCGCUCGGUGACGUCCUGAGGACCUGAACGCGACCGAUGAGCGCCGUCGGGCAUCGAGAUCGACUCAGCUGCUCGAGAAUUUGAGGUACACUUUCUGCCUCUUUAUUCUGCGCUCCUGAAUGCUCGGGACCUGCGGUGCCUACACAGACUUGCAUUUAAGACGUAACUUUGAUGAGAAGAUUGGCAGAACGAUUAUCUUACAUUCCCAGAUCGCUUUCCUUGAUACAAUUCAAGGAAAUGUCCUCAUUCGCUGCUGGUCAUGGACGCCGUCCCAAGAAGAAGCUUUAUCACCGUGAGCCUGGUCUCGACAAGGCCAUGGACCUCCAAAAGAAGCCCGCCCUCCUCCUCCGUCUCCGUGAGCUCAUCCUGGCCCAAAAGACAGGUUCACUACUUGUACGUGACCUUGAAAAGGAGGUUGGCUUUGUGCAAAAAUGGAACUUUGUUGCACUGAUUGAGCGCCACCCCAAUAUCUUCCGUGUCUCUGGUGGAAGUACAUCGCGUGAACCCAUUGCUGUCACGCUUACUGAGAAGGCCAGAAAUAUUUCUGGCGAGGAGAUCCAAGCACAGGAGCUAAUGGAACCUAUCUUGGUAAGAAAUCUGAGGAAGCUGUUAAUGAUGUCCAUGGACUGCCAGAUCCCUUUAGAGAAGAUUGAGCUCAUCCAACCUGAAUUGGGUCUACCAAAGAAUUUCAAGGACAAGUUGAUUCCUAGUUACCCUGAUUUUUUUUCAAUACGUGACGUGAGAGGGUUGGACCAUCUGUGUUUGGAGAGUUGGGAUUCUUCACUAGCAGUCACAGCACGAGAAGAAAAAUUGAACUUCGAUGGUUUCCAAAUGGAGUACAGAGGGGUUCCUAAAGAUGGAAAUUUACUGGGUCCUUUUGCUUUCAAGUUAAAGUAUCCAGCAGGAUUUAGGCCCAACCGGAAGUACCUUGAGGAGGUAGUCAGGUGGCAGAAGAUGGCGUUUCCUUCACCUUAUUUGAACGCUAGGCGAGUGGAGCCUGCAACUCCACAGGCUCGGAAGCGAUCUGUUGCUGUUCUACAUGAGGUCUUAAGCUUGACAAUGCAGAAACGACUGACAUCUGACAAGCUAGAAGUCUUCCAUAACGAGUACAGGCUGCCAUGCAAGCUACUCCUUUGUUUGAUAAAAAAUCAUGGGAUUUUCUACAUCACUAACAAGGGAGCAAGAAGUACCGUCUUUCUCAAGGAGGCCUACGAUGAUACUAAUCUCAUUGAGAAGUGUCCUCUACUGAAAUUCCAUGAUCAGUUUUCCUCUUUAAUUGGACGGCCAUGCUCCGACUUGAAUACUCCACUGGCAUUAUAGCUCGAGUAUUGAUUUACAUGAGAAGCAAAACCAUGGUGUGUCUGGCUGGUGCACCAUCUUAGUUGAUUUCUUGAUGCUCACAUGAGCCCAUUUGCACACAACAAACUAUAUUGCCCCGUUUCUGUUAAGCGAGACCAACGCACGGGGUUAUAAACUUAUAAUCCUCACUGGCAAUUGUUCAGCGGAUGGAACUCAUAGGGGGCAACUAUAAGCGAAGAUGGCCUAGCAGUUACUGUAUGAUCUUUAUCCAGCAGGAACAGUUAUGCAGCAAGCUGGCAUGAAACCUUUCUUCUCUUGUUAAUAUGUCAGCACAAAUAUUGCAGUCCAGCGAUAACCUGUCAGUCUGUGUGUGUUGUCAGAUUAUUAUGUAGCGAGUCUCUGGUACUGAUAUUGUUUCUGUGUGAUGUAGCUUUGUGUCAAAAUCAGUAGGCUGUGCGCCAGUCAAAGCACAGGAACAAUGCAAUGGAGUGCUUUGAUGGAUUGAGCGAUGGCUGAACAAUGGCAUCCUCCAAAAGGCUGUAGGCUAGGUGCUUGUUUAGCCCUACCAGCGAGAUCAGGGAAUCACCGCUUACCGUUGAUCUCGGACCGGAUUCUGAGAACGCAGAGCUUUGCCGGUUUGUUACGCCAAUCAAUAUAACCCACAGCAGGCUAUUCAUGGGCAGGUUUGGAUCCCUUUCAGGCUAAUCUUGAGUACCUGGUGAUAUAUUCCUGCAUUGAAGUGGUUGUCAACAUAGAAUGGUGCCUUGGUGGGGGGUGCAUAUAUACUUAUAACUCCAACACCAAGCACAGCUCUCAGUGGGAUCGAAUCAGACGGAACAUGUGCCAAGUAAAGAAGGACCGACAAAAUUGUGCACAGGUGAGACGGGGAAGGCCAACUGGCCGCUGCUCAAUUAUAUGACCCCUGAAAGUGAAGAGCAUGAACAGGAGCGGCGAUUGGGGCCAGAUUCUGCAGACACUGAGGGGAGCACCCACCUAUGAUGGUGGUCAGAUGCACUGAAAGCUAGAUUUGGAUGGGUGCUAGUGGCUUACCCAGAAAAAAGUCAAGCAAAUACUACAACGGAUGGAGACCGGAGCCCCCCCGCCCUUUCCUGAUACUGAUUGUUUUUCUUCUCCUGGUAAGCAUUUCCAAACCAUGUUAUUUCCGCAACUUGCACUCUGAACCUCUCUUAAUGCCUUUUUUUUCAGGUCUAUUAUUGGCCACCAACAGCACUUACUUUACUUGCCCUUCAGCCACUUUCAGCCUCUAUUGACCCAUCUGGAUUUCUUUCCAGUUGAUGUGCCUUUCUUGUACACCAGUCUUUGCUUGCCUGUCCGUGUCCCUGCCCCUGAGUAGGGUUGCCUGCUCCACAAACAACUUGGUUGUGUGGCUAUGGGCUAGGGCCUGCCCUUUUUAAGUUGGCAACUUCCACAAAAUCCACGAGUUACCACUGCUUCAGGAGCUGGCUUUGGUCGAAUGCUUGCAUGGUUUUGCUGUCUCUUUCUCCGGACCCUGCCUUGACUUUAGGAAGCUACCACCAUCUUUACUUGUCUUUCACUUUGAUUCUUAUAGUUACCACUAGAC